CGGCGGACGGGUGAGUAACGCGUAGGAAUCUGCCCAAUAGUGGGGGAUAGCCCGGGGAAACUCGGAUUAAUACCGCAUACGCCCUACGGGGGAAAGCAGGGGAUCUUCGGACCUUGUGCUAUUGGAUGAGCCUGCGUUGGAUUAGCUAGUUGGUAGGGUAAGGGCCUACCAAGGCGACGAUCCAUAGCUGGUCUGAGAGGAUGAUCAGCCACACUGGAACUGAGACACGGUCCAG
rnacentral:rRNA from 1 species